AACGAACGCUGGCGGCGUGCCUAACACAUGCAAGUCGAACGCGAAAGGGGGCAACCCCCGGUAGCGUGGCAGACGGGUGAGUAACACGUGGGUAACCUACCCGGAGGUGGGGGAUAACCCUUCGAAAGGAGGGCUAAUACCGCAUGACAUCGCGGGGACUUCGGUCCUUGCGAUCAAAGCUGGCCUUUGUUUACAAGCUAGCGCCACCGGAUGGGCCCGCGCCCCAUUAGCUAGUUGGUGAGGUAACGGCUCACCAAGGCGACGAUGGGUAGCCGGCCUGAGAGGGCGAUCGGCCACACUGGAACUGCGACACGGUCCAGACGCCUACGGGAGGUAGCAGUGAGGAAUAUUGCGCAAUGGGCGAAGGCCUGACGCAGCGACGCCGCGUGGAGGAUGAAGGUCUUCGGAUUGUAAACUCCUGUCGAGUGGGACGAAUGCCGUGAGGGUGAAUACCCCUCGCGGUUGACGGUACCGCUGGAGGAAGCCCCGGCUAACUCCGUGCCAGCAGCCGCCGUAACAC
rnacentral:rRNA from 1 species